rnacentral:rRNA from 1 species
AGCCAUGCAUGUCUAAGUAUAAGCAUUAUACCGUGAAACUGCGAAUGGCUCAUUAAAUCAGUUAUCGUUUAUUUGAUAGUACCUUACUACAUGGAUAACCCGUGGUAAUUCUAGAGCUAAUACAUGCUAAAAACCCCAACUUCGGGAGGGGUGUAUUUAUUAGAUAAAAAACCAACGCCCUUCGGGGCUUCUUGGUGAUUCAUAAUAACUUUACGGAUCGCAUGGCCUUGCGCCGGCGACGGUUCAUUCAAAUUUCUGCCCUAUCAACUUUCGAUGGUAAGGUAUUGGCUUACCAUGGUUUCAACGGGUAACGGGGAAUUAGGGUUCGAUUCCGGAGAGGGAGCCUGAGAAACGGCUACCACAUCCAAGGAAGGCAGCAGGCGCGCAAAUUACCCAAUCCCGACACGGGGAGGUAGUGACAAUAAAUACUGAUACAGGGCUCUUUUGGGUCUUGUAAUUGGAAUGAGUACAAUUUAAACCUCUUAACGAGGAACAAUUGGAGGGCAAGUCUGGUGCCAGCAGCCGCGGUAAUUCCAGCUCCAAUAGCGUAUAUUAAAGUUGUUGCAGUUAAAAAGCUCGUAGUUGAAACUUGGGUCUGGCUGGCAGGUCCGCCUCACCGCGUGUACUUGUCCGGCCGGGCCUUCCUUCUGGAGAACCUCAUGCCCUUCACUGGGCGUGUUGGGGACCAGGACUUUUACUUUGAAAAAAUUAGAGUGUUCAAAGCAGGCCUUUGCUCGAAUACGUUAGCAUGGAAUAAUAGAAUAGGACGUGCGGUCCUAUUUUGUUGGUUUCUAGGACCGCCGUAAUGAUUAAUAGGGACAGUCGGGGGCAUCAGUAUUCAAUUGUCAGAGGUGAAAUUCUUGGAUUUAUUGAAGACUAACUACUGCGAAAGCAUUUGCCAAGGAUGUUUUCAUUAAUCAGUGAACGAAAGUUAGGGGAUCGAAGACGAUCAGAUACCGUCGUAGUCUUAACCGUAAACUAUGCCGACUAGGGAUCGGGCGAUGUUCUUUUUCUGACUCGCUCGGCACCUUACGAGAAAUCAAAGUUUUUGGUUCUGGGGGAGUAU